rnacentral:rRNA from 1 species
GUGGGGAAUUUUGGACAAUGGGCGAAAGCCUGAUCCAGCAAUGCCGCGUGUGUGAAGAAGGCCUUCGGGUUGUAAAGCACUUUUGUCCGGAAAGAAAUCCUUUGGGUUAAUACCUCGGAGGGAUGACGGUACCGGAAGAAUAAGGACCGGCUAACUACGUGCCAGCAGCCGCGGUAAUACGUAGGGUCCGAGCGUUAAUCGGAAUUACUGGGCGUAAAGCGUGCGCAGGCGGUGUUGUACGACAGAUGUGAAAUCCCCGGGCUUAACCUGGGAAUUGCAUUUGUGACUGCAAGGCUAGAGUGUGUCAGAGGGGGGUAGAAUUCCACGUGUAGCAGUGAAAUGCGUAGAGAUGUGGAGGAAUACAGAUGGCGAAGGCAGCCCCCUGGGAUAACACUGACGCUCAUGCACGAAAGCGUGGGGAGCAAACAGGAUUAGAAUCCCCGGUAGUCC